UUGAUUUAAAUUAUUGUGAAUCUACAUUUUGAGAAUCGAACUUACACAAAAUGGUUGAACAUACAUUAAUUUCAUCAG
rnacentral:pre_miRNA from 1 species